rnacentral:rRNA from 1 species
AUUGAACGCUGGCGGCAUGCUUUACACAUGCAAGUCGAACGGUAACAGGCCGCAAGGUGCUGACGAGUGGCGAACGGGUGAGUAAUGCAUCGGAACGUGCCCAGUCGUGGGGGAUAACUACUCGAAAGAGUAGCUAAUACCGCAUACGAUCUAUGGAUGAAAGCGGGGGACCGUAAGGCCUCGCGCGAUUGGAGCGGCCGAUGUCAGAUUAGGUAGUUGGUGGGGUAAAGGCUCACCAAGCCAACGAUCUGUAGCUGGUCUGAGAGGACGACCAGCCACACGGGGACUGAACGCAGGACCAGCCUCCUAGGGGGGCCAGGAGGGGGGAUUUUGGAAAAAGGGGCGCAGCCCUGACCCAGCAUGCCCGGGGGAGGGAAAAGGCCUUUGGGUUUUAAACCUGUUUUGUACCGAAAGAAAAGGUCUCGGUUAAAUCCCGGGGUAAAAGGGGGGACCGAAAAAAAAGGACCGGGCCACGGCCGUCC